AUUGAACGCUGGCGGCAGGCUUAACACAUGCAAGUCGAACGGUAACAUAAGAAAAGCUUGCUUUUUUUGAUGACGAGUGGCGGACGGGUGAGUAAUGCUUGGGAAUCUGCCUUAUGGUGGGGGAUAACUAUGGGAAACUGUAGCUAAUACCGCGUAAUAUCUUCGGAUUAAAGUGUGGGACCUUCGGGCCACAUGCCAUAAGAUGAGCCCAAGUGAGAUUAGGUAGUUGGUGAGGUAAUGGCUUACCAAGCUUACGAUCUCUAGCUGGUUUGAGAGGAUGACCAGCCACACUGGGACUGAGACACGGCCCAGACUCCUACGGGAGGCAGCAGUGGGGAAUAUUGCACAAUGGGCGCAAGCCUGAUGCAGCCAUGCCGCGUGAAUGAAGAAGGCUUUCGGGUUGUAAAGUUCUUUCAUUAGUGAGAAAGGUACAAAUGUUAAUAGCAUUUGUAAUUGAUGUUAGCUAAAGAAGAAGCACCGGCUAACUCCGUGCCAGCAGCCGCGGUAAUACGGAGGGUGCGAGCGUUAAUCGGAAUAACUGGGCGUAAAGGGCAUGCAGGCGGUUAUUUAAGUCAGAUGUGAAAGCCCCGAGCUUAACUUGGGAAUUGCAUUUGAUACUGGGUAACUAGAGUCCUCUAGGGAGGGGUAGAAUUCCACGUGUAGCGGUGAAAUGCGUAGAGAUGUGGAGGAAUACCGAAGGCGAAGGCAGCCCCUUGGAGAGAGACUGACGCUCAUAUGCGAAAGCGUGGGUAGCAAACAGG
rnacentral:rRNA from 1 species